rnacentral:misc_RNA from 1 species
UCCGGUUUGUCACCGGCAGUCUCAUUAGAGUGCCCAACUGAAUGUAGCAACUAAUGACAAGGGUUGCGCUCGUUGCGGGACUUAACCCAACAUCUCACGACACGAGCUGACGACAGCCAUGCAGCACCUGUGUUCCCGUUCCCUUUCGGGCACAGCCGGGUUUCCCCAGCCUCCAGGACAUGUCAAGGGUAGGUAAGGUUUUUCGCGUUACGGUCUUACU